rnacentral:rRNA from 1 species
AAACGUAGGAGGCGAGCGUUAUCCGGAGUUACUGGGCGUAAAGCGUAUGUAGGUGGUUGAGAACGUCUGAUGAAAAAAGCUCCCGGCUAAACUGGGAGAGCGCGUCGGAUACGGCUCGACUAGAGGGUGAUAGAGGAGCGUAGAAUUCCGGGUGUAGUGGUGAAAUGCGUAGAGAUCCGGAGGAAUACCAGUGGCGCAGGCGGCGCUCUGGGGUCACACCUGACACUGAGAUACGAAGGCAUGGGGGAGCGAACGGG